rnacentral:rRNA from 1 species
AUGGUUAUGCAGAGUGUGAUGAAUGAGGAAACGAAGAAGGUCAAGGGGUUCCCGGGGGACAACAACGUGCCCUACACAGAGAGGCUGAAAAUUCUGGCUGGCAUUAUAAACCCUGAAGACCUGCAGCUCAGCACCCUGAAGACCUUCAGAAGCCGGUGUUAUCUAGAUCCUAGCACAAGUUCUACAAGGGAUCCAUCGUCAGCGUCGUUCAUUGAUUCAGAUCCAUUGUGCCAUUGGAAUGACUUGGAUUCUGCCGUUGUCACCAGCCUGAGGUUGGUUUUACGUUUCUUAUUGGAAGAGUGA